rnacentral:rRNA from 1 species
CAGCAGCCACGGUAAUACAGAGGGUGCGAGCGUUAAUCGGAUUUACUGGGCGUAAAGCGUGCGUAGGCGGCUUUUUAAGUCGGAUGUGAAAUCCCUGAGCUUAACUUAGGAAUUGCAUUCGAUACUGGGAAGCUAGAGUAUGGGAGAGGAUGGUAGAAUUCCAGGUGUAGCGGUGAAAUGCGUAGAGAUCUGGAGGAAUACCGAUGGCGAAGGCAGCCAUCUGGCCUAAUACUGACGCUGAGGUACGAAAGCAUGGGGAGCAAACAGGAUUAGAUACCCGUGUAGUCCCUGUCUCUUAUAC